AAACCGUGAUUCGGGCACCUUUUAAGACAAACUUUGAACCUCUCCCAAGCAUCAUACAACGUUUCACCAUCCGCUUGUUCGAAGUUGCUAAUUUCAGCCCUCCUUUC